UACAGAGGUGGCAAGCGUUGUUCGGAAUUAUUGGGCGUAAAGGGCGCGUAGGCGGCGCGGUAAGUCGGGUGUGAAAUCUCGGAGCUUAACUCCGAAACUGCAUUCGAUACUGCCGUGCUUGAGGACUGGAGAGGAGACUGGAAUUUACGGUGUAGCGGUGAAAUGCGUAGAUAUCGUAAGGAAGACCAGCGGCGAAGGCGGGUCUCUGGACAGUUCCUGACGCUGAGGCACGAAGGUCAGGGGAGCAAACGGG
rnacentral:rRNA from 1 species